ensembl:lncRNA
ACUGAAUAGUAGUAUUGACCAACAGCAACAAACAGAUCUCCUCAAGGUAAGUCUGUUGGCUGUGUUUUAAUGAAGACCAUCGCUGGACUUCAGGAUCUUCCUCCGUUCAGCUCAAGGUGAGGCGCUGGUUCUGUUUUUUCUUUGGUUGGUUCCGGCCGGAAUGUUCGGAUUCCAGUCGGACGGUUCGUGCUUCCCGCCGUGGAAGGUUCUGAGUGCGGUCACUUGAUUUAGUCCCAAUGGUUAGCAUAGAACGUUGUAGUCUUGACAACCAUAAGAAACCACCUGGCAGUUAGUUGGACAUGAGUCCCCUGAGGGAAUCUGGCGAACGUUCUGGAUUGUAUUUGCGUAACCUCGAGCCGUUGCCAACGGAAACUAUUUUUCAGUCGGUUUCUAUUGGGAAUUGUUGCCCCUAUCUUAAACAACUUAAGUUUGAUAUUAAAUACAUACUGAGACAUACGUCGUACAAUAUAUUGAUAAUUUCCGAUGGUUGCGCCGUACUUUUAACCACGAUGACGUGACGGGACUCUCACUGCGUACAAAACGGCGAUCUACUUGCGGGCCCAUUUUUGACAUCCGGGAAGGCUGAAAAUCAUUUCAAGGUGGAAGAUGAUUUUGACAUUUCUUCAACGGAACCCAGCACCUGAAUAUGGCUGAGUGUCUGCCUCCUCACCUAAAGCAAGACCUCCACCUCCUCACCCAGAGCCAGACCUCCACCUCCUGUCAGAAGUCCUCCAGAACAGCUGAAAGGCGAGGCUGAGAGGCUGGGGACCGGAGGCUUGUGGUGCCAGGGUGGACCGGAGACUGAGGCUGGAGACCAGGGGCCUGCAGCACCGGACCAGAGGACCAGGAAUCCAUGGCUGAAGGAGCUGAUGGAGGAGUCGUGCUGAAGGCCCUGCCUGGUGGAGGAGCUGGUGGAGGCCCUGCCUGGUGAAGGACGGCUGUCGUGGGACCAGGACUCUGUCUGAGGAGAGCUGCUGGAGGAGCUGAGACGCUGGAGGACGACUAGGAAUCGACCAACAAGGAUUCCUCAACGUGUUUCUGGAGCGGAGGCGAGCUGGUAGGGGAGCCGUGAAUCUGGAGGAUGACCAUCACUCUACCAACAAGGAUUACCAGGACUCUGAUGGAGGAGAGCUGAUGGAGGAGCCAAGACUCUGGAGGAUGACAUCACUCCACCAACCAGGAUCCUCACGAAUUACGUUUGCAAGCAGACCAGGAAUCUGGAGGACUGAUGGAGAAGCCGUACAUCUGGAAGGCAAAUCCUGAGGACCACCAGGACUCUACCGUCAAGGAUCUGGACAUAGUGGACCAGACACCCCUGAGCUGAACCUCACCUGAUCCUGUUUGGUCGGGGGUAGACACACCCGAGCUAAACCCGCCCUGAUCCUGACAUCCUGCUGGUCCCGUCUCCUCAGUUCAUCUGAGCCUCGUCCUCCAGAAGACCUGCUGAGCUCAGCAGUCUGAGGCUGAUGGAUCAAUGACCUCCAGUGGGAGUGAUCCUCUUGACCCCACAUGUAACUGUGUGCUUCCACACGCCUUUCCCUCACAUCUGUCACUAACCUCACUACUUCACAACUCUCUACUGCUUCCUCUUUUCGUCCUUCUCUGUGGUUCAAACCUUAACACUGAAGGCGCGUCUUCCUGCCCUCGGAGGGUUUAGCGUUAGGGUUGAGAGUCAGGGUUUAGAGUCAGGGACAGAGCUGGUCAGGGAGGACUGCUUUUACACAAACCUCUUCACUUGCUUUCGGAAUGGUGGUGACAUUUUGAAAAGAUUAAAUUUGGGAAACUGUUUUCCUCUGCUUUCCUUUACAAAAUUGUAUUAAACUUCUGUCAAGUGUUUUUGUUUAUACAUUAAAAUCCCAC